rnacentral:piRNA from 1 species
UCCACGGUCACUAUGGGAAUUGUUACCCCAAG